AUGAGGAGGGAGCAUUCAAAGAUGAAGGAGACAUGCAACAACCUUCUUUAUUCUUUUGCACAAAGGUGCCCUUCAUUAUGGCUCAACAUUGCUCACUCUACUCUGCCUCCUAAGCCAUUACUUCUCUUUAUACCUAUAAUUAAAAGUAGACACAGUUUCAAGAAUGAAGUCAAGUUGAAUUCUUCAGAGAACUCAAGACAAAUAAGGCAAUGAACUUGUGGGCAGCAGAAAGUAAGAUGAAUGACAAAGCUAUAGAAGAUAGCUGAGGUAAGAAUUACAUAAUUGCAAUUCACACAAAUAACAUUUUCCUGAACUGCGAUUACCCCCACAGUUGCUACCCAUUUCUGAAAUUAUCCUACAGGUUUAUCUACCAAUGGGAUAUAAUCAAAUUCAGAGAAAUGUGUGGUUGAGAGUUGAAAAGAUACUAAAAAAAAUAAAUGUCUUACUUUGAUUUGCA
rnacentral:lncRNA from 1 species